AACGAACGCUGGCGGCAGGCUUAACACAUGCAAGUCGAGCGCACCAUUUAUGGUGAGCGGCAGACGGGUGAGUAAUGUAUGGGAAUCUACCUAUUACUACGGAAUAACACAGAGAAAUUUGUGCUAAUACCGUAUAGUUCCGAGAGGAUAAAGAUUUAUCGGUAAUAGAUGAGCCCAUAUUAGAUUAGCUAGUUGGUAAGGUAAAGGCUUACCAAGGCGACGAUCUAUAGCUGGUCUGAGAGGAUGAUCAGCCACACUGGGACUGAGACACGGCCCAGACUCCUACGGGAGGCAGCAGUGGGGAAUAUUGGACAAUGGGCGCAAGCCUGAUCCAGCCAUGCCGCGUGAGUGAUGAAGGCCUUAGGGUUGUAAAGCUCUUUCGCCGGUGAAGAUAAUGACGGUAACCGGAAAAGAAGCCCCGGCUAACUUCGUGCCAGCAGCCGCGGUAAUACGAAGGGGGCUAGCGUUGUUCGGAUUUACUGGGCGUAAAGCGCGCGUAGGCGGAUAAAUUAGUUAGAGGUGAAAUCCCAGGGCUCAACCCUGGAACUGCCUUUAAUACUGUUUAUCUAGAGUAUGAAAGAGGUGAGUGGAAUUCCGAGUGUAGAGGUGAAAUUCGUAGAUAUUCGGAGGAACAUCAGUGGCGAAGGCGGCUCACUGGUUCAUUACUGACGCUGAGGUGCGAAAGCGUGGGGAGCAAACAGG
rnacentral:rRNA from 1 species